rnacentral:lncRNA from 1 species
UUAUAGUAUUAGAAUGGCACCCAAUACAUAGUUUGGAAUUUUUUAAAAUGUCAGCUAUUAUGAUGAUAACAAUGGUGGCUUACAAGACCUUUGACCAUCUGGCUUCCCUCUCCAAGCAUGCCAAAUUAAUCACACUUCUUAAACACAUCUCUUGACCGGGGUGUUCUCACCAUGCCCUUUCUACAAACAAAAAAUUCUUCUCCACAAUGGAUUAACCACAGACAUUUGAAGUCAUACUGUUUAAAUAUCUUUGAAUUAUUUUUGUUUAAAAAUGUCAAUGGGUACGAUAGGAAAAGUACAUUUUUUUCCCUGUAACUUCAAAACAACUGAACAGAACCUUUGGACUUAAACCAAGAAUUGAAUGUUUUAGCUUUAAGAAGAUUUUCUUCUCUGAAAAGUAAUGAAUGAGUCUCUUUGCAAGUUUAACUAUUUCAAGUAUCAACUCUCUGACUUUCAGCAUUCUUUGGUAUUAAAAAAAUGUUUCAUGUAUAAAUAAACGUCCUACAAGAGUUGGAGCCAUCCUCUCCUCAUCUUCUACUUUCUGCCUUCUUCUGGGACACGCUAUUGAUCACGAAGUAUCUUAUCCUUGAAAAAUCUCCUCUCUUCAACUCGAGUACUACUGCAGAAAGCAGCAACUUGGCGGCCUUUUAUGGAUGGGUGUUACUGAAGAAGGCAAUGUAUCGCAUCCUGUAUUACCUUCCCCUGACCUCAUAGCUUCCCAAAACAGGAACAAUCAUGGGCUUUGAAGAAUGAAGAUGUGGAGACCUGGAGACAGGUGGCACCUCGUGCUUCCUCCGAAGGGAGAGCCCAUUUCCUAACAGCUGGAUCAAAGGCAUGAAAUGAACAUGGAGUCCCUGAAGAUGAAGAGAAGGCAUGGCUUCCAGGGAGAAAUUGUACAUUACAGGAAUGCAGAUGUGAUUCCUAUGGAUGAGGGUAACCUAGAGGCUAGAAGAACAAUAGGACAGAAGAAGCCUGGGUCCCUGAACAA